GAGGUUGUAGCUCAGCAGUAGAGCGCUCACCUAGCAUAUGAGAGGUCCUGGGUUUGAUCCUCAGCACCACA
rnacentral:tRNA from 1 species